AUUCUGGGAUUUGGGGAAAUAACUUAAAUGGAAAGGCACUUGCUAUGAAACCAUGGGAACUUUGAUUCUUGAUUCCCUAUGAAGAGCCAGGUGUGGUGCAUUUUGUGUGUGAUCCCAACACUGGAUAGGUGCAUUUCCUUAGCUAGACCAUGUAGCCAAAUCAGUGAGUGCCAUGUCCCAGUGAGAGAAUCUGUCACAAAAUAUAGGGCUGAUAGCCUCUGAGAAACAUCCAGUGUUGACAUCUGGCCUUCAUAUACAACAUAUAUAUGUGCAUGUGCACUCAACCCCCAAUACAUGCAUAAUGCAUACAUAAUACAUAUAUACAUACAUACAUACAUACAUACAUAAAAUAUAAUAUGCAGCUCAGUUGAUAGCAUGCUUACCUAGCAUGCAUGAUGCCUGGAGUUUAAUUCCCUGUAUCACAAAAACUGGGCAUGGUAGCACAUGACUAUAAUCUCAGCACUUCGGGGACAGAGGCAGGAAGAUUAGAAAUUUAAGAUCAGCCGGGCUGUGGUAGCUCACGCCUUUAAUCCCAGCACUUGGGAGGCAGAGGCAGGCAGAUUUCUGAGUUCAAGGCCAGCCUGGUCUACAAAGCGAGUUCCAGGACAGCCAGGGUUAUACAGAGAAACCCUGUCUCGAAAAAAACAAAACAAAACAAAAAAUUUAAGAUCAUCUUCACUAUUACACAGAGCACUCAAGGCCAGCCAAGAAACCCAUGUUUAAAAAGUAAAUUUUGUAUAUAUGUACACACACACACACAUGUAUGUAUGUGUACCACAUGCAGGCCAGAUGCCCACAGAGGCUAGAUGUCAGAUCUCCUGGACUGGAGUUACACUGAAAUGAGCAACCACCUGAAUGCUAGAAAUCAAACCUGGGCUCCUUGCAAAAGCAGAAAGUGCUCUUAGCAGCUGAGCCAUAUGUAAAAUGAAUAUUAAUAUUCUGUAUAUAUUAAUACAAGAAAUCAUUAGAGCCACAGUU
rnacentral:lncRNA from 1 species